AACGAACGCUGGCGGCAUGCCUAACACAUGCAAGUCGAACGAGACCUUCGGGUCUAGUGGCGCACGGGUGCGUAACGCGUGGGAACCUGCCCUUAGGUUCGGAAUAACUCCCCGAAAGGGGUGCUAAUACCGGAUAAUGUCUUCGGACCAAAGAUUUAUCGCCUUUGGAUGGGCCCGCGUUGGAUUAGCUAGUUGGUAGGGUAAAAGCCUACCAAGGCGACGAUCCAUAGCUGGUCUGGGAGGAUGAUCAGCCACACUGGGACUGAGACCCAGCCCAGACUCUUGCGGGGCGCAGCAGCGGAGAAACUGGGAGACUGGGCGUAGUCAUACACAAGCAAAGCGGCGGGGGUGAGGAAGCGCUUAGGGUGGUAAAGCUCUGUGAGCGUGGAUGAUACUGACAGGACCGGGAGAAAAAUCUCCGGCUACCUCCGUGCAGGAGGCCGAGGUAAUAAUCGCACAAGCACACUCCUGAAC
rnacentral:rRNA from 1 species